GAGAGAGAAAGAGGUUUUUUUUUUGGGAUGGGGGGGGGGGGAAGGAAGAUGUGUCUAUGGGUGGCAUCCCACAUAACCGGGGCUCUACCCGAAAUCUGAAAAUAAAAAAUUCGAGAAAGUAAGUUGCAAAACAAAAUCAAAAAUUACAUUUGAAGAGAUAUUACUUCAUUAGUAAAUAGAAAUGUCAAAUUUGAUUGAGUUGGUUCGUGACUUCAAUGAAGAAAUGUUCAUUGUGGAAAACUACCUUAGCAUACAGAAUAAUGCAACAUUUCACAAUAUUCUGUUGUGCUUUGGACUUUCCUAAUGCUAUAAAUUAUUAUGACGCUGGUAUUAGUUAUCAAAAGUGGAUGAACUAGCUCUUUGGCGGCUGUACUGCAUUAUUCAUGAGUCUGGAAAAACACAUACUAUUAGAAAUGUACAAAGAGAAGGUCCACUGACCAUAUGUGAAGAGAGGCUAAUGAAGUAAUGGAUCAACUUGCAGUAGAUGGAGUUUCUUUGGCAUUUCUUGUAGUCUCCUUUUUGCAAAGACCUGUUGAGAGUUUCUAGCUACCAAAAAUUUUGUGUACAAAAAAAUAUAUUUGUAAGUUUAAUUUAUGUCUAUAAAGUGCAGUUAACUUAAAAAGGUAUUAGAAAUAUGCAUUUUAUUGAUUCAUCAUUAUCCGAGCCUUAUCCCAACUAUUUGGGUUGGCUAUAGGAAUCUUGUUCCGCCAUUCUGCUCUAUCAAGGACCAUACCCUUAGCUAGACCAUAAGUCAUGAUAUCUCUUCUCACUACUUUCAUCCUCAUCCUUUUGGGCGUCCUUUUAGAUCUUUCUACUUGAACGAAGUCACCCCUCCUAAGCGGUAUUGUUCUAAAUUGAUGCUGCACAUGGCAAGACCACCUAGGUCGACUGUCCCUCAUCUUAUCGCCUAUUGGAGCUACCCCUAAGUUCCCUCGGAUAAAUUCAUUUUGAAUUUUGUCCUUUCUUGUCUUGUCAUAUCCAUCUCAACAUCCUCAGCCACACUCAUUCUAUGAAUAUAUAGUUUCUUGACAUGCUUCUAUUGAUAAUUUUAUAAAAAUAUCUUUCUUUUUUCCCAAGUCUGGAGAUGGGCUUCCAGCAUAUGAAUAGGAACUGGGUAUGGGAGGAAGCUGUUCCGAUGUGCCACAGGAAAAGCGAGCAGCUGAGGGCACCUUCUUUCUUUCUUAUUGAUUAGCACAAAUGUAUCCCUCCUCAUUCCUCUCCUCUUUUGUUUCCCUCCUUCCCUGUGUGUUUCCCUCCUUCCCUGUGUCUUGCCUUAUAUGCUCAAUACCUUGGCUGUUCAUCUCAUUGCCAUUGAUAGUGUCGCUUGAUGGGGUGCUCAAUUGCUCUUAGAAACAAUACUAUCAAAAUCAUGUGCUGCGAUCAAAAAAUAAAGUAACAACUGGUAGUAUCUAGUUGAACAUUGAUGCAUGAUAAAUAUAAAAAAUAAAUACAUAUAGUUUGGCUUUUGCCAGCUUUAUCGGUUUUUUAAUGGGACCCUUUUGAAAUGAUGACUAAUGUUCUUUGUACAUAAGCUUGUAUAGUUUAUCGAGGAGUGUUAAUGAUAAUCCAAAAGGUCCUAAUUCUUAUGUAUCUCUAUUACCGAAGAAUUCUUAUAUAGCUUAACUUUGUUUGAAACUAGGAAUUUUAUGGUUUUUUAUAUGAAUUUCUUGGAAUACUCAUGAUGAUGAGAUAGCAUACAAAUGACAUCAGUGUAAUUAACUGUUUACUUGAUACCAAAACUUCUUUCUCCAUAUUAAGAUAAACUAUCUUGUGCACUUGAUCCUCUAGUGCACGCCCUUGAUAUGAAGCUGCAACCCCAUCUCACAUGGUUUGGAUCUAAAUUGAAAACUGCCUUCUUUCUUCGUAAUAGUUAUCAUCAAUCUGGCUGUUAGAGGAUGGAAGAAUAUUUACUCAUUUACCCUGCGGUACUUCUUUUUGGCGAAUAAGGGUAGAUUACAUCAUCAUUGUCAUCAUCAUCAUCUGAGUCUUAUCCCAACUAUUUGGGGUCAGCCACACAAAUCUUAUUCCACGAUUUCACUCUGUCGAGGGUGCACUCAGUUAGACCGUAAGUUAUCGUAUUAUUUCUUACUACUUCCAUCCAUGUCCUUUUGGGCCUUCCCCGUGAGCUUUUAGAGCCUUCUACUUGAACUAAAUCGCCCCUCCUACUGUACAUGUAUUGUCCACAUAUGUCAAGACCACCUAAGUCUACUUUUCCUCGCCUCAUCACCUUUGGAGCUACCCCUAAGUUCCAUCGGAUAUAUCAUUUCAAAAUUCUACCCUUUCUUGUCUUGCCACUCAUCCAUGUCAACAUCCUCAACUCAGCUAUGCUCAUUCUAGGGUAUGUUAUUUCUUGACCGCUCUACAUUCCAUCUCAUAAUGCAUGACUAGUUUUACAGCCAUCCUAUAUAAGGUCCCCUUCAAUGUCAUUGGUAUGCGAUGAUCACAUAAAACGCCGCAAGCACUUCUCUACUUCAUCCACCCAGCUCUAAUUUUAUACGCCACAUCUUCCUCAAUAUCUCAUUCUCAUGGAUUAUCAAUCUAAGAUAACAGUAAAUUAACUCAUUCUUUAGAUUAAGAUUUAUGACAAUUAGAGAUUAAGACACUUUAUAAAAUUAAAACAUUUUCCACUGUAGAAAAGUGGCAGUUCAAACAAACCUAUGGAAGAGCCACAUAUCUAUAACUUUGGACAAAUUUUUAUUGUUUCUCUAGAAUCUUUCAUGGAGUAGCUGGUAUAUUUGAACCCAUUCUUUGUAGUUGUACAUAGAAUUCCAUACGACUAAACAAUUAAAUUGCUGUCAUUGAUCACCAUUCUUUAUCAGAAUUGUACAGUUUAUCCGUUUAUUUCAGGGUUCGUCUUCUAUAUUCUAUUCAAACAUGGGUAUUUUUAUCUAGUUUACUAAAUAUUUCAAUUAUGGAUGCUUAAGUUGGGCUCAUAUAAUGCGAAAACCUUAUGUAUGAUUUACCUACCAAAGCCUUGGCUACUACCACCAGUCGAUUCAGUUUUGGGGUUCCACAGUUAAACACCACAUUCUUUAUUAAAAUAUUUUGCAACAUACUUAAUAGCACAUUCUGUUUAUUCUUUUCUUUUUUUUGGUGUAUUGUCAUUAUUCUGCAUUUGGUUGACAUAAAGUGGUUUACUUCUGUAUCGUAUCUAAUGAGGUUUAUUUCUGUAAUCUUUUUUUGACAUAUUGCUGUAUUGGGCAGCCUUUCUUUUCUGUUUUAUCCCCUUUUUAUAAUAUAUCAACCCAUCCUGUUCAUUUUUUAUCUUGGAAUAUGUGGAUCAAUACUUAAAAGGUCUAAAAAUCCAAUUGACCAAAGAAAUUAAAAGAAGAAAACUGACCUAAUCCUGCUUUCUGUUCACUUGACUCCAAUUUGUUUGUCUCUUGUAAAUUGUGGUUAACGCUAUAAUGGCGGUUCUUAAGAUCUUGGUUUGCGACAGCGACAGCCGACAGUUCCUUAACUUUGUGUUGUAAUUCUAUGCUUUCUCGCUGUAUGUUCUUACUAUACUUCAGGUGAAUGGUCUGCUAUCAAUCUUUGGACUUGUGCCAAUAUUGGACAACUCCAUUUUUUUUUCAUACCUCAUUUUGGUGGAUUAUCAACUUUAAUCCAAGGUCUAAAAUACUAUAUAUAAGAACAAAACAGAAAAUAAAAAAUUUCAAACCUUUCUCUUCUUUGUAGUUGGAAAUAGCCUGCUGUUUAGUCUCUGGUCCUAUAACACAAUUUCCUCCUUUUUCAGGACAACUUAGUAAAAAUCCAGAAGGUUUACGAUACCUUUUUGGCGGAAUUUCCUCUGUGCUAUGGUUACUGGAAGAAAUAUGCGGACCACGAACUACGUCUGGGCACUGUUGAUAAAGUUGUAGAAGUGUAUGAACGUGCAGUUCAAGCUGUGACAUAUUCUGUGGAUAUAUGGUUGCAUUAUUGUGUCUUCGCAAUAUCAACAUAUGAGGAUCCGGAUACCAUUAGAAGGUAAAUGCAUGAUUUUGGGUAUUAUUUAAUUUUAUAUAUCUCUCUGGUAUUCAUUCUUAGACUUGCAGGUUGGGUCUCGCUCGGUGGUCGACUUCCUUGUGGUGAUGUCUAUGAGGUUGUCUUUUUAUUUUCUAACCUUUUCUUGGUCUCCCUGCAGUAUUGGUAUCUCACAUAUAAGGCGAGAGGGUUUAAUAGCCUUUUAUUUUUCUUCAUGGGUUUAAUUUGUUUUUAUGUAUAUAUUUUCAUUUCUUUCCUAUUUUCUCAAAAGGUAUAUGUAGUAGUCAUGUAGUUUUCCAUGUAUUAUUGCUGCCUUUGACUUUGACACACUUGAGGAUAUGGGUGCAAUACAAAAUGCUGGUGGGAAGAUCUCGUUCAGUUAAGGGCUAAGAUGGCCUCUCUUCUAUAUGCCCUGCUCCAUUUCAAGGACAUAGUAUGGUUUUGUCGGGAAGGUAAAUGCAGCAUAUUUGUGUGUCUAAUGUUGAUACAGUGAAAAUUUUCCUUCUCGAUCUUCAGGGGGGGCCUCAUUAUGCAUAGAUUCAAUCCACAAUGGUAAAUUCUUGAUAUUCUUAAGCAUUUUUCGUUGACUGGGAAUUGUCCCUGUUCAUGGUGUUUCAGACUUUUUGAACGAGGAUUGGCAUAUGUUGGAACAGACUAUCAAUCCUACCCUUUCUGGGACAAGUACAUAGAGUAUGAGUUCUCCCAACAGGAGUGGAGCCGUCUUGCUAUGAUCUACACAAGGAUAUUGGAGAACCCCAUCAACCAACUAGAUCGCUAUUUUAACAGGCAAUUACUCCUAUCUUCAAGCAAUGGUAUAAUAUAUUUUAGCAGGAAUUGAUACCUGUUAUUUAGAAGGGAACGCAUACUACGUAUCCAGUGGGUUGUACUUAUUCCCAGUCCUUUGUGUACCCUGAAAUGAUGGGUGGUGAUGGAUACAUGGCCUAAUUUUGGGUUUCAUGCUCUCUUUGCUGUGCUAUGUUUUACCAUUGUCCAAUGUGUUAUAUGUACUUUCACUUCCAUCUCACCCCAGUAAUUGAAAAAAACAUGUGUUCCAUUGCAGCUUCAAGGAGCUGGCUGGAAGUCGGCCCCUAUCUGAGUUACAAACAGCUGAGGAAGCUGCCAUAACAGCUGCAAGUGCUGAGCCUGGUGUUCAAGGAGGGGAAGAAGGCGAGGGUCCUCGUGAUGGGGUGGAGCAAGAGUUCCCUAAAUCUACACUCAGUGAAUCUGAAGAAUUGGAGAAAUAUAUUACCAUAAGGGAAGAUAUGUACAAGAAAGCUAAAGAGUUGGAUUUACAAAUUCGCGACUUUGAGGCAGCCAUUAAGAGACCAUACUUCCAUGUGAAGCCUCUUGAUGAUAUACAACUGGCCAAUUGGCAUAACUACCUUGAUUUUAUUGAAAGAGGGGAUGAUUUUAACAAGGUAACGGACGAUGAUUUCUGUUAUGACCCUCCAUGUGCAAGAGGGGUGUUUCUUUGGCUUAGUUAAAGGUGUAACUAGCAUUAACCUCCAUCCUCUGUUGUCGAGAAAUGGUGGUGGAUGCCAUAUCAUACACUGCCUGGCUAGGCAUAGUUUACUCAUGUGGGCCAACGGUAACUGCUCGCGCAGCUCUAACUGCAGCCCCCUAAGCCGUGGCUUGACUGCAAGCUACAGGCUGCCUUUCUGUUGAUUAUAAACUAAUGUGAUUUUUUCUUGCCUUUCCAGGUUGUCAAGUUAUAUGAGAGAUGCCUCAUUGCUUGUGCUAACUAUUCUGAGUAUUGGAUACGCUAUGUUCUAUGCAUGGAAGCCAGUGGAAGUAUGGAGCUUGCAAGCAAUGCACUUGCUCGGGCCACCCAAGUCUUUGUCAAAGUAAGCAUACCUCCUCUCAUUUACCUCUUUUUCCUGCUUUCUCCAUCCAUGAAUCAUGAAUCAUUUUUUAGCGCAAUUUACUUUUAAGGUGUUACUGCAUGCAAUGGUUUAUUUGUGUUGGAAAUGCUUACCUUUUCAUAUUCUUCAUGUAUUAAUUAUAUUUUACUUACAUAUUAGCUUCUCAUUUUCUUUUUCAUUUUAAUUUUUAGUAAAUAUCACUCGAUGUUUUAGCUUAGUUUAAAAUUAAAUAUCACCAGGUCAAGCUGUUAACUGGCAUGCAAGUUUAAAAUGGUUAGACAAGUGCCUCUAUGCGUAUCCAGAGCACAUGUUUAAUAAAUGUAAAUAUGCAUUUAUGAAUUUUCUUUAUUAUUUGCAAGAUGCAAUCUAACGAUAAAAUUGGGUAAUACAGCCUGCUUAUGCUUCUUUAAGUUGUACGACAAAAAUCAAACCCAAGUUGCUCAUCUUUUAUAUUAUACUAUAAGGUACUACUGCAUUUCGUUGGGUAUGGAUUUGUUUAUUAAAGGUCUGUUUCUGAAGUUUAGGUUUGCCUUGGAAUCCUAUUCUUGCAUUUGACCAGUUUAUUGUACAAUAGUCAUGUUACUCUUCUUUAUACAUGAUAUAACUUAUGGUUGGUGAAAUUCUGGUCAACAGAGACAACCUGAGAUUCACGUCUUUGCUGCUAGAUUUAAAGAACAAAGUGGGGAUAUUUCGGGGGCACGUGCAGAGUACCAACUCUUACAUUCGGAUGUGGCACCUGGUCUAAUUGAAGCUUUAGUAAAGCAUGCAAACAUGGAGCAUCGAUUGGUAUAUAGCAUGUUAUGUCUUCCGUAAUUUCUUUUCCUUUGUUAUUACUUUGGAUUCUUUAAUAUUAUCUCUUCUCUUUGCCUCCUUUUUUUAAAUUCAUAAACCUCUCUCUUGGUUGGCUUGGCAGGGUCAAGUAGAAACUGCCCUUAUCAUCUUCACGGAUGCCAUAACUUCUGAGCAAGCAAAAGAUCAGUCCCAAAUUCUACCUUUCCUUUAUGUUCAGUAUGCACGGUUUCUUUACUUGGUAGGUUGGGUCUUUGGGUCUUUCUGUGCCUAUGUGAUUUGGAAUUGUUUUCUAGACCUAGAGUCUUAAACUGAAAUGAUAAUAAGAAGGAAAAGCAAGGACACCGAUCAUUAAAAAGAAAGAAAAAGAAGUUUGUGAGACCCUUUUUUUUUUUGGCUUCAACUACUACCAACCAUUGUCUCAUUUCACUAUUUUAUGUAAAUUCUUUUGAAAGAUGUGGUUGCUUUUUUUCUUUGCUUGUUCUCUACAUUACUAGCUAUGUGGCGGUCCCCCUAUGUAGGAAUCAUCUCUAUUAUCCGAUACGUUGGAGAUUGUAGCCUUAUGGUUAAUGCAUAUUGGGCUUUUGUAGGUUGUUGGCAAUGCAGAGAAGGCUAGGGAGGUUUUAACUGGAGCCCUUGAACACAUGCCAUUGUCCAGGCCCCUUGUUGAGGUUAGUUCCUUUCAUUUGCUUUGGUGCUUUUGUAAUUAAAAAAUGAGUAGAGUGUUUCAAGGUCCACUUCUAAUGGAAUAUAAUGCCUGCUUUUCGUGAUAUGUAAUGACAUGGUAUUUGUUGAAGAAAGAGAAAAAAAAAAUCAUUAAGGAGCUAACUCAUGGGAAUUUGUUUGCUGUGGAUUCCAGGCAGUUAUCCAUUUAGAAACGGUUCAGCCUUUUCCAAAGAGAAUUGAUUACUUGGAUUCGCUUGUUGAAAAAGUGAUAACACCCAAUGCUGAGGAUUCUAAUGUGCUGAGUUCUGUGGAUAGAGAAGAAUUAUCUAGCAUAUUCUUGGAGGUAGGUGAAUGAGGUUAUUGUCUUUACUGUUUCUCUUUCUUGAUGCUCAGUUUUAUUCUAAGGGGACAGUAUAAUAUAGUCCAGUGGAUGACAUUAUACUUCCUAAACAAAAGUUCCAUGAAUUGUGGUAUCUUCAUAAUCCAUUAAUGGGCUGUGUCCUUUCUGGUAAGUGCCACUCUCUCUCAUCAUCCACUUAUUAACCCCGUCGGCUAUCAGCACACUCCAGUAACUUUGGAUUCUUCUAUACCCUGUAGUGCGUUCGUGGUCUGACUUUGUGAAGAGCUCUAUAAUUCCCUGAUUUGGGUUUAAGACAAUGUUAAUUGGGCAACUAACGUUGCAAGAAUGGCUUAAACUUGCCAUCACUCCGUAAGAGAUGAUGCUGACUACAAAUGUUUGUUCUUAAUGUUAAAUAUAAGUGAUAUUACUGAAUUCCCUUUGGUUUCCUUAUUUUUAAGUUCUCUGUUUUGCUUAUGGUGUCAUUGAACUUUGGCAUACCUGUACUUGCAGUUUGUUGAUCUCUUUGGAGAUGCAACUGUGAUAAAGAAGGCGGAAAACAGGCACGCUAAGCUAUUUUUACAUCAAAAGACUAUGUCAGAAUCAAGAAAAAGGCAAGCCCAAGAUGGUCUUUCAUCUGAUAAAGUAAAGUCACUCAAAAGUGUUUCCUCUGCUGCUUCUCCACUUCUGUCUGCCUAUCCCAAUGGCCAGCAGCAAUGGGCAGCUGGUUAUGGGCCGCAGCCUCAAGCUUGGGCACAGGCUCCUCAGCCCCCAGUGCAACAAUGGAAUCCAGCCUAUUCGCAGCAGGUAUUUGUAUAUAUGUGUGUAUGAGAGAGAGAGAGAGAGAGAGAGAGAGAGAGAGAGUCUUUUAUCGCUCCUUAGAUAUUUGAACACUUGAUGCGUUUGCCUCUUUGUGUGUGUGUGUGUGAGAGAGAGAGAUAGAGAGAGGGAGGGAACUUUUAUUGCUCGUUAGAUAUUCAAACACUUGAGCUCUUGCUCAAAGAGAGAGAGAGAGGGAGAGAGAGAGAGAGAGAGGAGGGNNNNNNNNNNNNNNNNNNNNNNNNNNNNNNNNNNNNNNNNNNNNNNNNNNNNNNNNNNNNNNNNNNNNNNNNNNNNNNNNNNNNNNNNNNNNNNNNNNNNNNNNNNNNNNNNNNNNNNNNNNNNNNNNNNNNNNNNNNNNNNNNNNNNNNNNNNNNNNNNNNNNNNNNNNNNNNNNNNNNNNNNNNNNNNNNNNNNNNNNNNNNNNNNNNNNNNNNNNNNNNNNNNNNNNNNNNNNNNNNNNNNNNNNNNNNNNNNNNNNNNNNNNNNNNNNNNNNNNNNNNNNNNNNNNNNNNNNNNNNNNNNNNNNNNNNNNNNNNNNNNNNNNNNNNNNNNNNNNNNNNNNNNNNNNNNNNNNNNNNNNNNNNNNNNNNNNNNNNNNNNNNNNNNNNNNNNNNNNNNNNNNNNNNNNNNNNNNNNNNNNNNNNNNNNNNNNNNNNNNNNNNNNNNNNNNNNNNNNNNNNNNNNNNNNNNNNNNNNNNNNNNNNNNNNNNNNNNNNNNNNNNNNNNNNNNNNNNNNNNNNNNNNNNNNNNNNNNNNNNNNNNNNNNNNNNNNNNNNNNNNNNNNNNNNNNNNNNNNNNNNNNNNNNNNNNNNNNNNNNNNNNNNNNNNNNNNNNNNNNNNNNNNNNNNNNNNNNNNNNNNNNNNNNNNNNNNNNNNNNNNNNNNNNNNNNNNNNNNNNNNNNNNNNNNNNNNNNNNNNNNNNNNNNNNNNNNNNNNNNNNNNNNNNNNNNNNNNNNNNNNNNNNAAGAGAAGAAGAGAGAACAUAAUAUUUACGUGGUUCAGGCCGAAGCCUUACGUCCAUGGAUCCAAAGCCCAACUGGCUACAUCUUCACUAUUUUGGAUGGAUGCUUAUAUCAAUGAGUACCUCUAUAUAUAGAGGACAAUCCCACAAUUAGAGGAGAUAAAUUUAGUAUGAUAACUUGAUGACCAAGUAACUUGAUCUCUAUCUUCUAGAUAUCUAACCUUAUCAAGAGAUAUAUACAUAUACAUCCAUAAUGAUGUAUAUUAAUAUGAACUUGAUAUAUCCAUAUCUUAAUACUUCCCCUCAAACUCAAGAUGCUUUGACACAAAGCAGCUGGAGUUGGAACAAUACUAAGUUGCCAAAAAAAAACUUGAGUGGUGAUCAAAUCCAUGAUCACUAAGGUUUUCUUCUCAGAGUUGCCAAAAAAAAACUUGAAUAGUGAUUCAAUCCAUGAUCACUAAGGUCUUCUUCUCUGAAGAUCUUCUCUCUCAGAGGCUUCUUUUUUUUCUAUAGGCUCUCUCUCUCUAAAAGAAAAGAAUCAUCACACAUGAUGGAGCAACGGAAAACUCUAUUAUCCAAUAGAAUUGAUUAACGAAAAACUCAAUCAUUGAAUCAUAGGCAUCUGAAACAAAUAGGACCGAGUAAACUCGAUCAUCACACAGGAUGGAGUAACGGAAAACUCCAUCAUCAAACGAGAUCAAGUAACGGAAAACUUGAUCACCAAUCAGGAUCAAAAAUUCAAUCAUCUUCAUCUCCUCAUCUGGAGACGGAACUCUUGAUCAUCAACCAAGGUCAAGAAAUUCAAUCAUUUUCAUCUCCUCAUUUGGAGACGGAACUCUUGAUCAUCAACCAUGAUUGAGAAAUUCAAUCAUCUUCAUCUCCUCAUCUGGAGAUGGAACUCUUGUUCAUCAACCAGGAUCGAGAAAUUCGAUCAUCUUCAUCUCCUCGUCUGGAGACGGAACUCUUGAUCAUCACCCAUAACUUCCCUUUGCAUAGUAGUUGGACUGAUAUAUAAUUUGGAUUUUCUUGUCUACAUAACGGUUACAUUACAGAUGCUGACUUCAUUUGUACUCAUCUCAUCUCCAAUGAAACUGAACUUCUAGACAAUAGCUCACAUCUUAAAAAAAUACCACUCAAUUUUUUUUUCACAGAGGAAAACACAAAAAUGAUGAAAAACCCAUCACAAAAUCAUGCCUUACGAUCGAUUAUUUUGGAACCAAAACCAUCACGAUCACGGCCCCCAAACAUUGCAGGCCUAUCAAAAUCAUAAUCACAGUAGCCAUCGGUACCUCGAUAAUUACCGUGGUAGCUCUCAAUGUUUCGGUAUCUAUCUGUAUCAUGGUAUGAAUCGAUGUCACGGUCCUUGUCCACAUCACGGUUAAGUAUCAACGUCACAGAACGAAUCAAGGUAUCGUGCCUUUUCAUGCUUUUGAGGGACCCUAAUGUAUCCAAUAUCUUUCUUCAAAAUCUCUUCUUCUCUGUGGAGGCCAACCACGUGGACAAUCAUACUAGCAGUAUUGGGAAUGUGUAGCAAGCCAGCAUCAAGAACCUGAACUUCACCAUCAUACUAGCAGUAUCGAUCACGCAAUUCUCGUGCAAGCAAACCCGCAUGGCAUCUAAAUCAUCAACAUUCAACAACAAAUCUGAUGGCUUCAUCAAGAACUUGAACUUUGCCGAUCUUUGAACUCUGUUACUUGUAGACCCUUCUGUUGGUUUCUUUUUGUAGAAGAAUUGCGCCAGCUUCGACAUUCUUUUGUUGCUUCUCUUUGAAUAUAUCAAGUAAUAUUAUUUUUGUUUCAAGCUCCAUUAACGCCUCCGCGCCCAAUCCAGCAUGAUUGCGAACGUAGUGGUGAAGGUUCCGAACCCACAACAAAUCCUUGCUUUGAUACCAUAUUAGAAUUCGUGGGAGCAUAGAAUGGAGAAUGGAGAGAAGAAGAGAGAACACAACAUUUAUGUGGUUCAGUCCGAAGCCACGUAUACGGAUCCAAAGCCCAACUGGCUACAUCAUCACUAUUUUGGAUGGAUGUUUACAUCAAUAAGUACCUCUAUACAUAGAGGAUAAUCAUACAAUUAGAGGAGAUUAGAGGAGAUAAAUAUGGUAUGAUAACUUGAUGACCAAGUAAUUUGGUCUUUAUCUUCUAGAACCUAACCUUAUCAAAAGAUAUAUACAUAUACAUCCAUAAUGAUGUAUAUCAAUAUGAACCCAAUAUAGCCAUAUCCUAACACUUUUGAGGGUUAAAUUUGGCUGCAAGUUUCGUGAAAAUUGAACCAGGGUAUGAGGCAUUUUGAAUUUCCAUAUUCUUUUCCUUAUUUUCUGUAUUCUUAUGUUAGUCUUAACACUCUCUCUCUCUCUCCAGGCUGGCUAUGGAAAUUACAGUUAUGCUGGUUAUACCCAGCCUCAACAAGCUGCUGCAGCUCCACAACCGGCUGCUAGUUAUGGUGCCUAUACUCAAACUUACCCUGUCCAGGUACCCUAUGCCUCUUUUUAUCUCCCGUGUUCUCUCUCUUUCUCUCUCUCCCCUCCCCCCUUUUUGAAGUCUUUCUAAGGUGGUUGAAAUGCAUUUCCUCUUCACUUAAUUUAUUACUAUCCGUUUUGAUUGCUAUUCUUUGUGUGGUAUUCUUAUCUUUUGUUUUUAUUAUGAAAAUGGUCAGCAGGCUUAUACACCACAGACUUAUGCCCAAGCGACGCCGGCCUUUACACCUGCUGCUGCUCAGCCACAAGCUCCAGUUCCUCAGCCUUAUUACAGCGGUUAUUAUUGAGAUCGGAAUCCUCAAAAAAUACUACAAAUUUUGCCGCUUGUAAAUUAAGGUGGUGGGCUUAUGACACAUUCUAACCAGUGCUUUCCUUGAUGACAGUCGGUUGUAUACCUCAGUGACGAUGGUCGAGCGACAAGAAGCAGAGAUAUGGGUUCAGAUUUUCUGUCUUAAUAUUGCUGUUAUGUUGAGGAUGGAAACAAGAGAGAGAGAGAGAGAGAGAGAGAGAGAGAGAGAGAGACAUGUAGUGUGAUACUACAUACUCGUGACGUAGUAGUAUUACUUUUUAUUUUUUUACUUACUUACGUAAGUAAUAGUAAGUAAUAUANNNNNNNNNNNNNNNNNNNNAGUACGACGACGACGAACGAAGAGAGAGUAGUAGUAGUGUUAGUUAGUUCGUUACGUUAUUAUAGUGUGUGUAGUAGAGAGAGAAGAAGAAGAGAGAGAGAGAGAGAGAGAGAGAGAGAGGCAAUCACGUUGUUGCAAUGUACCCUAUAUCCUUGGACCGAUCGGUAAUCAUUUUUUUUUUUUUUUCAAUUCCCUUUAGAAAAUAUGAAAAAUAUGGAACAGGUAAAUUGGCAAGUUUUAUAUUUUGGGUGAUGAUAAUUGUCCUUUCAGAAACUAGUAUUGUUUUGUCAUUUCUAUGCAUGGAGUUCUUUUUGGUUACAUCCUUUUUAUCUAUUUUUCUCAGGCUCUCUCUCUCUCUCUCUCAUUCUGAUUUUACUUGUAAAAAAAUAAAAUGGAUUCCACCGGGGAUCGAACCCAGAAUCUCUAGAAAAAAGAACCCCAAAAGACACGCACAACGCACGCCUCGGACCUCCUCCCUCUCUCUCUCUCAUGUAUGUGCUUGACCGCAAUAUUAACUUUGAGGGUGCGGUUUGUAUAGAGCUUAGGCUCUAAACAAUCAAAUUAGAGCUUACCUUCAAAUACUGUCAAAAAAUGUGGUCUGACACUGAAAAUUUUUGUGAUAGUUUUAAAAUAUAUUUUUAUCUUUAUUUAUAAAUUUUAAAGCUUUAAAAAUAAUGUAGAUCGACGAAUCUAUGAAAACUUGAAAAUUGGCUGUUCAAAAAUGCAUUAUAAAAUACAAUAUUUCCAAACUUGAAAAUUUGACGGUUCAUGCAUCUUGAUAUUGAGAUGAUCAUAAUCUCUUUUAGUGAAUGUUUUUUGGCAGGCUUUAAUUUGAUUGUUUAGACCCUCGGCUCAAGUUUUCUUUGAUACUAUUUAUUUUCAAAUUACAACCUUUUUUCCAAGUAUAUUUUUUUUUGGGUGUGGUUUGUGUAGAGCCUAGGCUUUAAACAAUCAAAUUAGAGUUACUUUCAAAUAGUGUCUAGAAAUGUGGUUUUAAUACUGAAAUUUUUGUGAUAGCUUUAAAAUAUAUAUUUUUAUUUAUUUAUAAAGUUUAAAGUUUAAAAAAUAGUGUAGAUCGAUAGAUUUGUAAAAACUUGAAAAUCUUGAAAAUUGACGGUUCAAAAAUGCAUUAUAAAUGAAGUUUUGAGCAUCCCCUUUCUUUUUAAAUGAAGCCCACGUGACAUAUAAUGUGUCGGACAGGUUUUGUUUUAAACAAUAAACAUCUGGCUCAUGUGCUAGAUUGAUUCUAGACUAUUGAGUUAUGCUAGAAUUGUUUUAUUUUAUGGUAAAGUGUAUGAUGAGAUUAUUUAUUUUUGAUACAAGAUGAUCACAAUUAAUCUUGACCAUUGAAUGUAAAAUUGGGUGGUUGUACUAAUUUCAUUGGCCAAGUCAAAGUUUAAAAGUAAUUUUUUCGACCUUUAUGACAUGUCCAAGCUAUUAAAUUUCACAUUAGAUGGUUAUAAGUAAUUGUGACUUCUUUAUACAAAAAGUAAAUAGUCUUAUUGUAUACAAUCCUUUAUUUUAAACAACGAGGCCAGUUAGGAAUAUGGUGUGCUGGAUUGGCUCUUAUCAAAACCAGUCCGUGGCUCUAUUAAAAUGAAGCUGGCUUAACGCAAUGCAUGCCAAAUCAAGGUUUGGUUCCUAUUUUUUAUUUUUUUUUCCUUUGAGAGAAAUGUGCGUUAUAAGGGGGUAUUUUCAUCUUAAAAAAAUUAGUUUACUAUUUAAAAAGAUGGGUGCAAAAAUAAAUAGCAUGUUAGUGGUGUGGUUUAAAACAUUUAAAGAGUCGUCGUCAUCAUCAUCAAAACCUUUUUUUAAUUAAUUAGAGUCCGCCUAUAUGAAUAUAUUCUACAACAUUAAAGGUCACAUCUUCAAUUCAAUGAUAAAAGUAGGUUAUCUAUCAUUUUCCUAAAGCAUUUAGGUCUUGUUCAAGUCCAUAACCCUCUUUCACAAAAACACGGUCAAGAAUGGUAACCCCACUUUCAUGCACACAUGCCGUGUGCGCACUGUUUAUGGUCCCAUUAUAACACGCACUUCUCGUUCAUCGUUAGAGACCCAUUAUGACAUUCACUUCUCCUUCAGUUGAGCUUCCUUAGGGUGGUGAAUCUCUCUCUCUCUCUCUCAUGACCCUAUCAGUCAAUUGGGUUAUUUUUGAAGCAAGUAAAAAGCAGGUUUUCUUUUUUUCGCAGUGUUUUCGUAACAACCCGUAGGGGUAGCCAUUGGGCUCGGUCAACAUUUGGUAUGGGUCUCGUUGUUGGACCUGGCGAGUUAAGUCGGAUCCAGGUCUGGGUCUGGUGAAGGUCCAAAUAACUUGGACUUCACCUGGUCAGGGUCGGGUUUAACCCGGUCCGACCCGACAAUAUAAAACAUGUUAUAAAUAAGUUAAAGGGUGUGGUUUCUAUAAACAAUCAAAUUAAAGUGUACCUCCAAAUUUGAUCAUAUCAUGUAAUUUUAGUGUAAAAAAUUCUUAGGAUUAUUUUAAAAUUUAUUUUCAUCUCUGAUUAUAAAAUUUGAAAUUUUAGAAAAAAGGUCAAAAUCAAGUAGAUCUAUAGACAUAUGAAAAUCUUGAAAAUGAAUGGUCUAAUAAUAUGUUGCAAGAUGCACUAUUUAUGGAACUCAAAAUCUUUUUUUUUUUUUUUCAUAUUCAUACAUCUUGAUGUGGAGAUGAUCGAUUAGAGGUUUUUCAACAUCACAACAACCUUUUCUAAUGGAUUUUUGAGGUGCAUAUGUAAUUCUACAUUUCAAGAUUGCAACCUUAUAUAAAAAAUUUUCUAAGUCAAAUGAUAUCAACUAUACAUUAUAAAAUAUCUUAAUAUAUAAAAUAAAUAUUUUACUUUCUUUAUUUUUGGAGCCAAACUUUACUUACAUAGGAGGUUGAAUACAUAUCUAAAUGACUUGGAUCCUACCUCAGACCAGAUCCAAGUUAGACCCAGUAAAGGUGGGUCUGACCCGAACUCGGCCCCAACCGUUGCUAUCCCGAAACGGGGGUGGAGAGAUGGCCUUCACCAUGAAUAACGUGGCACAAAAAGCCACCCCAAGUUUUUGCCUUUGAAUGGAUGGGGAAGAGAAAGGAAUCCUUGGUAAUGGGUCCUUUCGACGGCACGGCACUUUAAUUUGAUGCACGUGGGUUUUUUUAUUUUUAUUUUUAUUUUGGUGUAGAUGUUGGAGAAUACAUGUUUUAUCCAUUUUUAAAAAUAGUCCAUGAUAUUGGUAGCUGAAGCUCAAGUGAUGCUACCACUACAACCUCAACAAAAUAACCAACAUGUUGUUUCUUGUUUUGUAUAUAAAAGAGCCAUUUGUAAUAUAUAGAACCACUAUUUUUCUUCAUCUUCUUUAAAAAAAUAAGCUGGACUCGGGCGAGUUACUCGGACUCGCUCAAAUAAAUUGUCUCAGUUAGGUCCCAAGUACUUUGGCCAAGUCGAUUUUUUUAACAAUAAGUGCUACAUUUUACACAGGUACCGACUUACAAGCUCAUAGUGCCAUUACAUUGGAUCUGUAAGGUCUGUAGCACUGGAAAGCAAUAUCGAACUAAUUGAUCUUUGGGGAUUCUUACCACCACGGACCCAGCAGAUCGUAGCAGAAGCAUUCUAGUUAUAAAAAUAAAGAAGGGAAAAAGAAGAAGAAGAUAUUAGGAUAACAUUGUAGGUAUUUUUCAAAAAUUGCAAAAUAGAUGGGAUAGUUUAAUGAAUCACCGGCCCAUGAAUUGGCACAUUACUGACCGACUCCCACUCCACAUCGAAUCUUCCUUAAUCAUCAAUGGCAACACACGUGAAUUUCUGGAUUGAAGAAUAGAUCUUUUCUGGUAUUCACUUUAACUUAGAAAUAGGUUAAGGCUUUAUAGAAAAAAAAGAAAGUAAAUCCUCACCUAAAAAAUCAUUAAGAAUUAUAAUUCCGGCCUUCAAAAAGCAUUCAAAUCAAUCAGUUAAGAUCUUGAUGAUUAUGGUUGUGAAAGAAAAAAAAAAAAGGUUUCCAAACCUAAAAUAGUGUAGAUUGUAACACAUUAUCUUGACCUUUAUUUUCAAGUGUCCACAAAUCCAAGAUGUGUACCAUUUUUUGAGUUAUAAAUUUCAUGAAUAAGUGGUGGAAACAUAUUUUAGAGCCACUUUAAGGAUGUCCGAUGGUCGAAGUAUUUUCGAAACAAAAUUUCAAGGUGAAACUUCACCUCUUUUUUUUUUAUAAAGGAAAAGGUUUCUAAACUUCUCUUAUUGUAUAGAAGAUAUAUACUCCUUCCAUCUAGCUGUCUAAUUUAGAUCAAGUGAGCCACUGGCCAUUUGAUCUUACAUUCGACGCCUUAGAGUAUUUUAUUUUUAAAGGAUGAGGUGGUCUGCAAGUUGAAAAUGACGGCGUUUUUUUGUAUUAAAUCUGCGUAUAAUCUCAUGUAUCAUGAUUGAGUGAGAUGGUCUCGAGUCGCCUUGUAAAGGUGAUGGUGUUGGAAAGUUCUAUUCAAAAUCAAAAACUUUCUGAGGAUUCUUUUUUGAGGUAAAACACUAACUAUUGAUAAUUUGAAGAAAAGAGGUAGGAUCAUGGUUAAUAUUUGUAUGUUGUGCAAACAAAGUGAUGAGGUAGGAGAUUAUUUGUUUUUAUAUUGUUAGUUAUCUGUUGAGAUUUGGAAUUGCCUGUUUCAUAAGAUGAGGACCAUACGAAUAUUAUUAAUCAAAUAAGUAUGGAUGGUUUGCCAAAGUUUGUGAUUCAGCAGUGCUUUGGGAGAUAUGGUUGGAAAGAAAUAGACGCAUUUUUUAAGGUCCAACACUGGAAGUGGAAUCGAGUUCUUAACACGAUGUGGCGAUGGUUUUCAGUAACCAAAGAGGGUUUUGGAACUUCAAGAUUUGAUAUGCACGUUAAUUUGUCGAAUUUGAUGAAUUAAGGGAGGGUGAAAGUGAGACCUAAAGAACGAUGGAUGUCUCCUCAAAUGGGAUGUUUCAAACUCAAUUUCGAUGGUAUUUCUUUGGAUAAUCCACUUUUAGCUGGCUUUGGAGGAAUUUUACAGGAUUCCUCAGGAGCAACUAUUUUCUGCUAUGUAGGACCGGGCGGCAUUUUGUCGACUAAUGAAGCAGAAAUGGAUGCGCUAGAAUGAGGAGUGCAGCUCAAGGGGGAUUGCAUAUUUAAGGGAGAUUGUUUAAAUGUGAUUAAUUAGUGCAAUUCUAAUGCUAGACCCCAACGGCGUUUGAGAAUGAAAUUGAUGAGAAUUUUGGAUCAAUGUUCGAGCUUGCAAUUUUCCUUCUAACAUGUUUAUCGAGAAGCAAAUUAUGAAGCAAUAGUAUUUGCCAAGAGGGGUGUUAAAUUGCAUGACUUUGCAAUUUUGAUGUAUUUCCUCUUUGAUUUGCUGAUCUCAACCUUUAAAUCAAUAAACAGUAACAUUAUAAAAAAAAAAAUUUGUUUUGACAAAUUAUAUGAAUAUGAAAUUUGGUACGUGCUAUCAUCUCAAUGGGGCACACCUAAAACAAAGAUUUUUUUUAAAAAAAAUCCAUAAAAUGGCAUAACAAAAAACUUUCAGAUGUAUUUUGAUCAUUUUAUUUUAUUGAUAAUAUUUGUUUUAUAUUAUUUAUAGGUGCUAGUAUAAAAGAGGAGUAGAUGCACAAAUUUUGGUGUCGUAUUUUAGUCAUUUUAUUUUAUUGAGGAGGAGUAGAUGCCCAAAUUUUGGUAUCAAAAUGUUUUGUAAAAAAAAAUUAAAUUUUAAAUAAAAUGGUAUGGAGAUUUUUUUUUUUUUUGGAGAGUCAAAUAAGUAGAAAAAGGGGCUUUCACCCUGAGUUGGGAGAAAGGCCCUUGACCCUUAAUUGGAAUUGAGCCUACGAUAUAGGGUUACAAAUUGUCAAGUGCGAACCAAUUAGGCUCAGGCUCAGGCUCAGGCUCAGGCUCAGGCUCAAAUAGAAUAAAGACGAGACAAUGUGAUUAUGACCAUCUCCCUUCUUCAUUCAAAAGAGUAGAGUUGGAUUGGAAGAGGUAUAUAAGUUUUAGAGAGUAAAAUAAGUAUAUAGUAAGCUUGGCCCAUAACCCUUACUACUUACAAACUGCAUCUAAUUUUAAUGAAGAAAUAAGGUUAUAGGAUAUGUUUGUAAUUCACAGUAAGCCCUAAUCGAAACUUAUGCCAUUUCUAAACCCCGUAUAUAUUUUCCACUCCCAUUCUCACCGAGCACAAACACACUCCAAUGGCUUCCUCACUCUCUCUAACCCUCCUCCCCAUCACACACAACGUACGUGCACAAUCCACACGCGCCAAUGCCUCCAUAACCAGGAGGCAGGCCCUAUGGGUGGCGACCACCUUGACCACCGCUAAAUUUGGAGAGGCCGCCGGUUUAGCAGAGGAUAUUCCACUUUUCGGGAUAAGGAGGCUGAAGAAAGUGGAGGAAGAGGCUGAGGAAUUGGUGAAGGAAGGGGAGAAAUUGGUGGAGGAGGGUUUAGAGGUGGUCAAGGAAGAUGUGGAGAAGGGUUUCGGCGGCGGCAGCGGAGCGAUAAACGUAGCGGCGGAUUUGGGACAGGCGUUGGGGGUGGCGGGGGCCGAGGUGGUGGGUUUGGUGGUGGCUUCCUCAGUUGUGAAUGGGAUUCUAGGGCCUGAGGCACAAAAACCAUGAAAAUCAAAGGUUUCUCUCUCUAGACUUUCAAAGUUCUCUCUCUAAACUUGGUAGGUCUCUCUCCAUUUGAGGGGAUAAGGAAUUCGUGGCCAAUUUUCUUCUCUCUCAAUUAUUUAAUGUGAUUGUGUGUCUCUUGACCUCGAUCUUUCAUUUCAAUUAUUAUUAUUAUUAUUAUUUUUAAAAAAUUAUUUUUAAUCUUAUUUAGGAUGUGGGAUAAGGUGCCUUUUUUUGUAACGAGAGGUGGCAAUGGGUGCGUUGGGGUUGGUCCGGUUCCACUUGCACUUGGGCAUAUCACCUAGACCGACCUCGAGUCUAGGGUUUUGAACCUAACCCAUUAGUCGAAAACUUGGACCUGGACCUGGACUUGACUCGGUUUGGGUGUAGGUUUAGAAUCUAACAAUUUUUUUUUGAAAAAAUAUUUGCAAGGUAUCUACACACAUAUCAUAAAUUUGUCAAAAUAUUAUAUAUAUAUAUUUAAAAACAAUAUACAAUACGACCAUUUACCUUUUGGUAUAAAGUAAUAACAAUUAAUCUUGACUUGAAAUUUAUAGCUACAUUUAUUUCAUUGAUCAAACUCAAAUUUCAAAAAAUAAAUUAUCGGACUUUAUGACACACCCAAACUAUCAUCAUAUGGUUGUAACUAAUGAAGACGUCCUUUUAUAAAAGGUAAAAUAAUGUCAUUGUAUACAAUCCCAUAUGUUUAAUAUAUAAUAUGUGUGUAAAUAUGUUUAGGUCAGGUUCGGGUUGGAGUUGACCUGGACUUAGACUUGACCUAGAUCUUACUCAGUGCCGGGUUUUGGACCGGGACUGUGACCCGAUCUACCAUGCCAAAACCUUGAACUGACCCGAACCCAGAUCAAGUUGACCUACCGGGUCUGUCUCUCUCUCUCUCUCUGUCUGUCUGAGGAGAUAAGGAAAUCGUGGCCCGUCCAUAAAGUACUACUUGGCUAGUAAGUACAUUUUUGUGCUGUGACAGUGUAAGUGAAAAUCUCAACAAUCAAGCCGGUGGAAGUACAUUUUAUAUUUAUUCCCUCGAUUAAAGUUUAAUUCAGGAGUAUUUUUAAGACUUUAAAUUUUACCCAUAUAACCUCUUCAACUAGUCGACUAAUCUUAAUAGAAAAAUUCCUGAAUUUCAUUUCUAUGGACUUGGAAAACAGAAAAUAAUGUUUCAAGAUUGAAUAGAGACCGUCUAAUUUUUGGAAGGUGAGAUCUAAGUAUCGGACAACUUAAAAUCUACUUUUUUCAUUUUUUAAAAACAAUUAUCUAGUUAUCGUUAUGUGGUUCCCAAAAUUUUAAAACAAAAAAAAAUACCGGCAAGUGGAUCAUCGACCUAUGGGAGUAAGUGUACAAUGUGCUCCCACAAGAGCAUAUUAUACGUGCUCAACAUUUUUUCUGCUCGCUAAUAAAAAAGUUGUUGGUGCAUGAGGAACAAUUGAUGAGUGGAAAAAAAAAAGAGUUCUCAAUGAAACGUAUAUAUGAAUAAAAAUUAUGAAAAAGUUUAUAUAAGGUUACAGAAUUAAAGGAGCACUUCAAAAAUCCAUCAUGAUAGGUUGUUUUGAGGUUGGAAUUUCCUCUAAUUGAUCAUCUCCACAUCCAGAUGUAUAAAUAUAAAAAUGAAAAAAACUUUUAAGUCGGAGAAAUAGUGUAUCUUGCAUCACAUUAUCUUGACCGUUCAUUUUUAAAAUUUUCAGAUAUUUGUGGAUCGACUUGAUUUGAACUAUUUUUAAAGUUUAAAGUUUUCUAAUUAGAGAUAAAAAUAGAUUAUCGAGCCGCCUAAAAUAUUUUUAUUCCAAAAUUAUAUUUAUAAUAAAAUUUAGAGGUACGCCUCAAUUGGUUGGUUUGAGGUUGCAACCUUAUUGAAACCUCAUCCUAAAAUUUUUUAUCGAUGAGACGGUUCUUUACCUUGGGCUAUAUAGACUACUAACAUGCACUUGUAGGGGGAAUUCCACAUUAUGUAUUAUCUCUCAUAAUAUUUUUUUGUUUUGGAAAUAAUGAAUGAUAGAGCCCCCUAGGGCUUUAAAAUGCCAAAAGUAGGGGUGUAGGACAGCAGGCAGAGGGCAGGAGCCAGAAAUUGAUGUCUAUGUUUCAUUCUCACCAAGUCUCAAAAUUAAUAUUAAAAAAAAAAAAAAAGUUUAUAUAAGGGUGAGGCUCUAAACAAUCAGAUUAAGGCGUACCUCAAACAUUCAAUAGAAGAGGUUUUUUUAUGUCUAAAAAUUCUCGUCUUCAAGACGUAUGGACAUGAGAAAAAAUGGAUACGAAGUCUUAAAAACAGUGCAAUCUUAUGAUGCACUUUGUCCAUCAUCACUUUUCAAGAUUUCCAAGUGUUCAUAGAUCUGUUCGGUCUACACUAUUUUUGAAGCUUUAAAUUCAUAAUUAUACAUGAAAAUAAAUUUUCAGAUCAUCACAAAGAUUUUUAGUAUCGAAACAAAAUAGUUUGAUACUAUUUGAAGGUGUACUUUACUUUGAUUGUUUAGGGCUCAGCCUUAUACAAACUACACUCUAUUACAAGAAAAAGAAAAAUGUUUUGAUAGGGCUACAACCCUAUCAAAAUGAGCAAAGUGUCCCCUAAAAACUCAUGAAAAUUGCAUUUAUGGCAUAAGAAAACCUUCGAAUCCAUCAUAUCUCAACCUUGAAUAUUAUGGUUGUGAAAAAUUAGGAUUUCAAGCCUUAAAAAUAAUAUUUAUUGUAGCACAUUAUCUAGACCGUCAAUUUUGCCCUAACAAUAUAUUCACAUAUCCACAAGAUCUGUAUCAUUUUUUUAGCUUCAAAUUUUAUAGUCGGUGUUAGAAAAUGAUUUCUAGAGCCAUCAGGGAAAUCUGAUGCCUAAAGUGCUCUCCGGACAAGAAUUAUAGGUGAAGUUUUAUUUUGUUUUCGUAUAGUUUAGGCCUUAUAGAAAUUGCAUCAAAGAAAAAUUCGGAAGUAACAAUACAUUUGAAAUUUUUACAAAAAUACAAUGCCAUUGUGAAUAGAAGUUCUUGGAAGUUGAACUUUAUUAUUAUUAAUACCCUUGUUUUUAAUAAAAAUUUCAACUAUACACCUAUGAAGAUUACAAAAUAUUCAUUCGCAUCACCAAGAUAAAAGCGCAAUCGGGCAAAUCUACCCUUCACAAAAUAUUCUAACUUUAAACUUUGUAUUUCGAUGAGGGUAGACUAUUCUAUAUACAAGGAGAAUACCAAUUAAAUCCUCAAACCACUGUACAAAAUUAUUGAUGGGGCUCAAAUUAUCCCAUUAAACAUUGUAAUGUUUACUUCUUAAGUUUCAUUAUUCUUUAAUACCUUGUCAAAUCAUUGUAAUAGUUACUUCUUAAGUUUUAUUAUACUUUAAUACAUUAUUAAAAAAAAAAUUAAAAAAUUUCAAAUUGCUCCUAUUCAAGGUUGAAAACCUGAACAACAUUAAAUUUUAGUAAUUCGGCAACAAUAAAGUGGCUAUUGCCAAAUAAUGAAAAUGCCUGAAAAUGUGGUUGGUUGUUUAAGAAUAGCAACAUGAAACUACUAAAUGGCUAUGAUACCCUGGUUGUUCAAGGAUAGCAACAUUUGACUCACUUUUUUUUUGUUGUAGACCAUUGAUUCAGCUUUUCUAUCCCGUAACAAUUAUGGGUAUUAUCUUGAUUUGGCUGGCCCCAUUUAAGUAAGAAAAAUUAUCAAAAUGGCCUUAGUUAUUUAGGUUCCAACCCUAAACAAUGGGUCAUUUCUUAAAAAUUGAAGAGGUACAUUCGAAAAAGUAAAUAUUAAAUAGUUGAACGGGAUCAUUUUGACCAUGUGGUAAGGUGGUUCGAGGAUUUAGGUGAUAUUUCUUUUUUAAAUAUCUUAUACAUAAAAUAUAUUGGGUUAGUCGGGUGCGGACCAACUAGACAAUGUUAGGAUUUAAGAACUCUAUUAGUUUUAUGAUACGAACUAUAUGAGAAAUAAAAUGCUACAUUACAAAAAUGUAAACAUUUACGUAGUUCACUCCAAAAGAGCUAUAUCUGUGAACACUGCAAAUUGAAAUCUAUUAUGCAUCUCUAAACAUUUAUAAAACUUAGUAAUACAACCCUUUUGGACUAUCUCCCCGAGCUUAUCUCUAUUACAUAACUAAACUAUUCUCGACAAAGAAAAUCUUGAGGUCAACCAAGACUUUAUCUCACUCAAAGAAAAUACCACCCAAAUUCUCUACAAGAACCUGUCCUCCACCUCUCAAUCUACAAGAUGCAUCACCAUAGUCUUUCUCUCCGUAGGAAGCUCACUUCUUCUUUUUUAUAAAGUCAAAUAACUUUAAUUGAUAGGAGUUGUAACAUCAUAGAGUUAUGCAUAAUAAAUUAAAUUAUUGGAGACAUACAAAGAGGACAAAGAGCACCUAAGUUUAGCAAGUUGAUUUGCUAGGACGUUAGACUCCCGAUAGACAUGAGCAAAUGAAAAGUGAAAGCUACCGGUUUAAGAAAUGUCCAACGAAAUAGUAUGAGGAGACCAGGGGACCCUUUGCUCCUUUUGACACCAUUUAUUGACAUUGAAGGAGUCUCCCUCUACCAAGAUAUCACCUUUACUCCGAAUGAUCUCCAGGCCCUUAAAGCAUGCUCAUAUCUCUUUAUACGAAGGCAUUGCCUCACAAUGCACGAGACCCUACCACUCUCUAGAGGAAGCCGCUUUUUCCAAAUAAGAAAAACACAUAUUUUCCCUAUUAUUUUGUAAGAGGUUAUUAAUAUAAAAAUCUCAUACAUGUUAUAUAUAUCUCAAAAUUAAUAUAUAUAAUUAAGACUCUUAUUUUAGUUAAACUUCUAUUUUCUUUAUCUAAUCUCAACCCUCCUUAUAAUAGGAUUUUUAUGGUGCAGUGAGUUUGCCUUCCAACAUUUCUAACAUACAAUUUUAAAAAAACGAGAGCUUAAUUAAUAAGCGUUUAACGAUUUGCAACACUACACCUUAAGCUCAAUUCCUACUCAGGUUAGGGGCCUCUCCCCCACCCUCUUUUGCACAACAUACUUUCUCAUCUUUUCUUCUAAAAUUUCCCUGUCCUUCCUCUCCUCUCCAUCUAAUUUUAGGUUGCUUUGCCUUUGCACAGCAUAAUCAUUUCUCUCUACUUUCUCUUUCCACCAUCCACUGCCAUGUAAACUUCUCUCUCUAACACUUGCCAACAACUAACAAUUCUCUCUCUCUCUCUAACUUUGCCAUCACCAUCAAUUUUCUCUCUCUAACCCUCCUCCCUCUCUGGCCAAGGAGACAUGAUCAGCAUGUGGGUCAGUGCUGGUUCUGCCUUCUCUUAAUUGCCAAAUAGUGGUAGCAAUAAAUGGCCAUGCAUCCUCCCUACCUGUAAAGCCUGCCUAAAUUGUUAAUGGGAUUUCCAUUAUAUUUUAAUGGUGGUGAGUGAAAUUGUUUCCAUAUGAUUCAGAGCGACUCUGCACAUCUUUUAACACUCGCAGACAGCAUCCCGGCAAGAACCAGAAUCAUAACAGUUUUUUAGAGAAAACCCAUUUCCCAUUUCCCCUUAGAAUACUGGUUUUUCCUCUUUGUUAAAUGUUCUUUGCAUAUAUUAUCUUAUGUUUUUUAUUUGCAAAACAUGGGUACGUGUGGGAAUUCAAUAAGGUAUUCCUCCAGGUACAGAUCUGCAAAUUAAUUGGCAAAUUUCAAAAUUAGAUUCUCAGAGGCCUUAUUAUACAAGUAACUCUCUCUCUCUCUCUAACUCUCUUUCUCUCUCUAGAAAGAUGGAGAGAUGUUGGCAUACAUAUAGUAUCAUUUACACGUAAACACACACAGAUGCAUGACACAGUUAUUACACAAUAUUAAAUACAGAGCGAGAGAGAGAGAGUGCAAGUGGGACAAUUAAACCUGAAGAGAUAGCCCUGAAACCGUGUGAAGAGGCAACCAUGACAGCAAAAUGUGGAAGUACUAAAAAACUGUUCAAAAACGUGGAAUUUUGGGUCUACUUUGGAUUUUAAGUAAGAGAAUGUUAUCCAUUUAUUUCGUAAUGAUGUGGUUCCUUAAGGUAGAAGAAACAUGAAGAUGGUAGGUAGAUGUUUACAAAUAUCAAGCCUUUUGUAGUUAAAAGUACUGUAAAUUCCGCAGAGAGAGAGAGAGGUGAGGAGAGGAGUGGAGAGCGACUAGAAUUUCAGGUUUGAGAGGUAGAGAGCUCAACAAAAUUCAAUGAAGAGAUCCAAUAAUUUAGGAGUCAGGGGAUUCACUUUGUUCAACUCUGAAUAAAAGAGCCCGGAAUUUUCAUUGAAGUAUUUAAGUAACCAAAUAAGCCAUAGGUUAUUUAAAAAACAAAGUUAACAACUUAAACAAAUCUGAAAUUGGGUGCACGAUUUGAUUCUAUCGAAUUUAAAUUGCAGGAAAUUAGAUUUCUUUCAGAAUGAACGGUACACCAGCAAACGACACAAUGCAUAAAAGUCACAUAGGCGUUGAAGGAACCAACGAUAUUAGCAUAACACUGUGUGUCUGCAAAGUGGGUGUCCAUCAAAUCUGAAUGCAGUCAGUGUAAUACAGUUCACCAUUAUAGUUUCUGAAAACAAAGAUGGUAGUUCCUUUAAUCGAACACUUCUAAGGCCUCAUGCCUGGGGGACCUUGAGAGAGAGAGAGAAAGAGUAGUUACAUGAAAGAUUAAUAAUUUCAUAUUAUAGGCUAAAAACAUUUAUUUUCUCAUAAACACUCAGAUUCUACUUUUCCGGCUUCAAAAGAACACAGCACACAUAAAUGAAAUCACGGAAACCAUAGUUUUAAUCAGUUUUUCAGAAAAUCAGGCCCCGGCUCACACAAUCCCACUCAGGCGAUUCUCAACUGGAUAGGUUUAUAUUUAACAAAGACAUUAAGAAAAGACGCUAGAAACUGCAGAUCCGGGGAUCUUCGAACCAUAAUCUCCUAGAAGAUGAUCCAGAUCUGACUUGGGUGACUCUGAGUUGGAUCAAUAACUGGUUAUAGUAUGAAGAUUUCACAUGAAAACUUAUCCAUCAGCUCAGGAUACUCGAACCAUAUCCAGAUAAACUUAUCAAUCCAGUUACAAAUUGAACGGGAACCCAAGCUUCUUUCAAUGAUUUCGAACGGGAAUCCAAGCUUCUUUCAAUGAUUUCGAAGAAGAAGACACACAGGCUAUGUAGAAUGACUCAGAUUUUUGCUUACCUCUCUUUCUAACACACACUAAGAAAUCAGUAAAAUUUCAUACAUUUGCUGAGAAUUAAAGCAGGACAAGCAAUUCAAUAAAACCAGGUUGUUUAAAACAAAUUAUGCAAGGUACCAUAAAAUUGAGAGAAAUGAAGUGAAGUGAAGAAAAGAAAUACAGCAACCGUUCAAAGACACAGGAAUUGAUUAUAACCAGGUUAUUAUAAAGUCAUUUUCUCUCGAGAAAGUAAAACAACAGAUGAUAAAUCAUUUCAGCAUUGAGAAGGAAAAUCAUGAGAGAACAAUGACUCUUGUAGACUUUUAGUACCAGAUGGAAAUUAUUAGGCAAAAGGAGAUAAAAGGAUCAAUGGCGUUGAGAAAAACCACCGUAGCCCAUAAAUAUUUAGCUCUCGAUUGGAAGAUGUUAGCAAACAUCAAAUUUGUUCUGUGAUAUAACUUUCAAGCAUCAACUUCUUAUCAAAUCUCAAACUUUGCAAGCAGGUAUAUUGUGUGAGUAUGUGACAGAGAGAGUAGAGACGGAGAGAAAGAGAGAGAGAGUCUUGAUCUUUCCAUGCACAUUCUCAAGAAACAAGGUGAGAGAGAAAGUGUUGAUUUUUCCAUUCAAUGGCACAUUCCAAAGAAACAAGGUGCAAAACUUUAUCUUUCCAUUAAAAGUAAGGAUAAUGCAAGCAGCUACAUCAUCAGUUCCCUUUGGAGAACAUAAGGGAAAAGAAGAAGAAAAACAAAAAACUGUACAACUUUUACAUAAAACUAACUCAUAAACUCUGUAACUCAAGCCCACAACAAAAACAACGACACCCCAUUCCAACUCUAACCACCCUCUGUACAAUCACCAUCCAAUCCCCUGUUUCUCUCUCUAGAAACACCUUGGUUCUCUCUAUCUAAGAACCCAUUUUUCUCUCUCUAAAAACCCACUUCUAGAAAGAAUUCAUCUCCAAAAUGUAAGUCUUCCUCUUCACCAAUAGUCUAGCCACCUCCCCAUAAGCUCCAUCAAAAGCCAUGGACACAAAUUGAUCAGCCUCCUCUUUCCCCAUUGGUCUAUCACUCGGCCUUAUAAAAACCAAAGUAGCUCCUUUAAAACCCAUACCGUUAGGAAGCUCGAUAUACGGAGCAUACCAGAGCUUCAUGCUCAAAGCUGGAACUUGGGUUCUAUUAGCACUUGCAGAGGCUGAAAUGGGUUUAACCCUAAUUUCACUCAAUUGCCCUGAAUUCAUAGAAAGAAUUCCUUGAUUAUCACAAUCGGUUACAGUCAGUCUCUCUAAGCCUGGGUGCUCUGAAAUUAUUUGUUGAAGAACAAAAUGCCUAGCUGAAGCAGCAAUUAAAGAGCUAAUGGUCCAAACCACCCUAAGUUUGAGACCUCCAUUAAUAUAGAAGCUCUCUGGUAUGGUGCCUGAUUCAUCUUCUCCGUAAAAGGCCAUAUCAAGAUCAUCAGAAACCCUAGUUUUCUCUCUCACAAAACCUGGCUCGAUAACACUGGAAGCCCCUAAAAUUACGCAGCUCUCUAGACUGGUCCCAAAUUCAGCUCUCCAUUUGAGGAGAACCCCAUCUCCAAACCCUAGCUCGCCAUUAGGGAGUUGGAUUUUCAGGGUCCUAAUGCUUGAGAAACUCUUCAAAACCUCAACUGGAGAAUGGUGGGUGACUUCUGAAACCCUAAUCUUUUGAGGCGUUACAAGCUUAUGAAAGGCUUCGAGGGACUUAACAAAAGAGCCCAUCACCAUUUUGAGGAGAUGAGAGAGAAAGCCUCGGGUUCUAGAGUUUAUUGGAUCUUCAUCAUCAGUGAUUACACAGUCUACUUUGAUCAAAAUAUCUUCAACCAUGGGGAUGAGAGAGAAAAACCUUUUGGAAACAGAAAGGCAGAGCCCUAAGGAUUUGAUAUCCUGAACCUUGUUAAAUAUAAGGAGGAGCACUGAGUCAGGGAGUCUUUCGAAGUGAUCUGCGAGUAGGGGUAGGUGAGAGCUGACCUUACCUGGAAAUGGCUCCAUGAGUGGAUGGUCCUAAGUUGCAGAGAUCUGCAAUAAUGAAUCGGUUCUAAUGGUGGGUGCUGUAAAAAUCAAAUCUUCAUGGAGUUGCAGAGAGAGACUUGCAGAGAGAGAGAGGGGAAAGUAGAGUAGAUGGUAGAGGAUUUAAGGAAUUUCAGCGAUGAAAAGUAGCGUGGAAUUAAGUUUUAAGGAAUUGUGUAGAGAGAGAGAGACUUUUGAGGUGGGUCUAAGAAGGAGGCGAAAAAAAGUAGAAAAAGUCCUAAUCUUUUAGAGAGAAAGAAGAUUUUCAGGAAUUGAAGAUAAAUCGAAAUACUGUGAGGUGGGUCUCCGUCUAUGGAGGCGUCAAAGAAAAAAAAAGUAGAAAAAGUCUCUUCUAAUAUUGCUUAGAGAGAGAGACUUGCUCAGAGGGAAAGAUAGGGAGGAAAAGUACAGUAGAUUUAUACUUUUAAAGGAUUGCAGAGAGAGAGAGCCUGCAAAGUAAGCAAAAAAAAACAGCAAAAAAAAAAAACCAGAAAAAAUCCUUUCUAAUCUUUCCUAGAGAGAGAAAGAAGAGAGAGGAGGGGUCUAAGAAAUGGGGCACAAAAGAGAGAGAAGCAUAGUCCUUCAAGGAGAGAAAAGAAAUUAUAGAAAGCUUCUUCCUCUCUGUAUUAGAGAGAGAUCCGCAGUAAGGGUCUGAGGAAUGAAGAGAGAGAGAGAGAAGCUAGAUGGAGGGUCUGAGGAUAGGGUUUCUUCUAGAGAGAGAAAGAGAUGGGCUUGAUGGAGGUUCUGAGGAUUGGGUUUGUUCUAGAGAGAGAGGGAGAAAUGAAUUUCCUGCUCUCAGUAGAGAGAGAGAGAGAGAGAGAGAAAUGAAUUUCCUGUUCUCGGCAGAGAGAGAGAAUUGGUCUGAGGAUUGGGUCUCUUGUAUUGAUUGGGGAAGAGAGAGGGAAGGAGCGGGUCGGUCUCGGCUUUCCCCUGAGUUUAGAGAGAGAGAGAGAGAGAGAGAAUAUAUCCAGAGUUUAGAGAGAGAAUAUACCCAGAGUUUAGAGAGAGAAAAG
rnacentral:lncRNA from 1 species